GGCAGAUUAGUGCAAUGGAUUUAAACCCCAUAAAUAAAGUAACCUUU
rnacentral:tRNA from 1 species